CGGUGCCGCGCCCUGGGGCGGGUCUGCCCAUGGCCUGCCGGGAAAUGUAGUUUCUGAAGCCCCGCCCUUGCCGCCCCGUGGCUCGCCGGCCGGGAGCUCCAAGCAACUACAAGUUCCAUCACCCUCUGCGAGGCCUUGAUCUCUAGGCUUUUGCAGGGAAGGGAGUGGGGCGAACAUGGCUGAAGGAAGCCGAGGUGUACCAACGUGUAGCGGGGUGGGUGGCAGGCAGGACCUAGUCUCCGGCAGUGGCGGCUGCAACUUUCCAGAGUAUGAGCUUCCCGAGCUAAAUACGCGCGCUUUCCAUGUGGGCGCCUUUGGGGAGCUGUGGCGGGGCCGUCUGCGCGGGGCCGGGGACUUGUCGCUGAGGGAGCCGCCGGCAUCCGCUCUGUCCGGGAGCCGGGGGAUUGCUGACUCCGACCAGGAGGAUGCCGCGGUGGCCAGGGAUCUGGACUGCAGCCUGGAGGCGGCGGCUGAACUGAGGGCGGUGUGCGGCCUUGAUAAACUGAAAUGCCUUGAGGACGGUGAGGAUCCAGAAGUCAUUCCGGAGAAUACUGACCUGGUGACUUUGGGGGUUAGAAAAAGGUUCUUGGAACAUCGGGAAGAAACCAUUACAAUAGAUCGAGCCUGCAGACAAGAAACAUUCGUUUAUGAGAUGGAGUCACAUGCCAUAGGAAAAAAGCCUGAAAAUUCAGCAGACAUGAUUGAAGAAGGGGAGCUUAUCCUAUCUGUGAAUAUCUUGUACCCUGUUAUAUUUCAUAAGCACAAAGAACACAAACCAUACCAAACAAUGCUGGUGUUGGGCAGUCAAAAGCUCACAGAACUGAGGGAUUCAAUUCGCUGUGUCAGUGACCUCCAGAUUGGUGGUGAAUUCAGCAACACUCCUGACCAAGCCCCUGAGCACAUCAGCAAAGACCUAUACAAAUCAGCCUUCUUUUAUUUUGAAGGAACAUUUUAUAAUGAUAAAAGAUACCCGGAAUGCAGAGAUUUGAGCAGAACUAUCAUUGAGUGGUCAGAGUCCCAUGACAGAGGAUAUGGAAAGUUUCAGACUGCUAGAAUGGAAGAUUUCACCUUCAAUGACUUGUGUAUUAAACUGGGUUUUCCUUACUUAUACUGUCAUCAGGGAGACUGUGAACACGUCAUUGUCAUUACUGACAUAAGGCUUGUGCAUCAUGAUGACUGCUUGGAUAGGACACUGUAUCCCCUCCUUAUCAAGAAGCAUUGGCUGUGGACCAGAAAAUGUUUUGUUUGUAAAAUGUAUACAGCUAGAUGGGUGACGAACAAUGACAGUUUUGCGCCAGAGGACCCAUGUUUCUUUUGUGAUGUUUGCUUCCGAAUGCUCCACUAUGAUUCAGAAGGCAACAAACUGGGGGAAUUCCUUGCUUAUCCUUAUGUUGAUCCUGGAACCUUUAAUUAAGAAUAGCUACACUCACAAAAGUACCCCCUCAUGAAAUAACUGUUCUCUUGGAUGGUUACCUUUUUUCUAAGAAACGCCACUGAGGAACAGGAUCCACUUUGAACAGUCUGCUAAAGCUAACAAAAAAAAAAAUCCAAAUCACAGAUUUUUUUAUAAAGUAAUGAUUGUAUUUAAAUGUUUAUAACAUAGUUAAAUUUCAUAUUUAUUCCAAAGAGUAUUUAAUUUAGUGCUUUUUACCCAUUGAGUUGUGGUAUUUUAUAUAUUCUGACUUUAAAUCCUUUGUCAGACACACAUAUUCUUUCUCCCAAUCCAUGCCUUCCCUAUUCAUUCUCUGUCCAGAGUGUUUUUUUGCUAAAGAUAGAAUUAAUGAUACAUCAAGUAGUGGAAGUGUUUUGAAAAUGCUUUGAAGAAUGUGAGAGCUACACCUUCUACCAUGAGGCUUCCAAGGUUGUAUUUAAAUUUGACUGAAUAUCUGGAUGGCUAAGAACAGACAUUUAUAUAAAUGGAAAACUGACGAAACCUGUAAGCCUAUGUGUUUAAGAUUGACAGUGAAGUAUGUUUUAUGGACUUAAAUGCCACAAACAGUUAAGUCCGUUGGCUUGGAGAGGACAAGCACGUGUUUCUGGUAUGUCUAGUGUUCUCAUUCACUGAUUCAGUCAGUAUGCAGAUAAUCAGUAUAGAGAACUCAGAGGCUGGCUUAUGUUAUACCUAAGUUUUUACUUUCUUGUAUACAACAAUGCUAAAAUUGAGCAGAUUGAUAACAGCCAGCAAACCAUAGAUUUAAGAUAAAUGAUUUACCCAACCCUAAAAUUCCAUGGGUAAAAAUUUUGAUUCCUUUAUUUGUAAUAUUGCAUUCCUUAUAGGUCUCACAUGCAUAUGCAAGGAUAUUUUAUUUUAUUCAUUUUCAUUUCAUACUCUCAAACCUCAAAAAGUUAAUUAUUAUCAUAAUGCAUUAUUCCAUGUGUGGUGUUGAUUCAUUUUAGUGGACAAAGAAGAAACAUGCCAGUCAAAACAUUUCUGCUACUGGCAUUCUAUUAUUUGAGAAUGUUUUUCUGCUAGUUCUUAAGGUUAACCUUUUCAUCAAAGACUCAGGUACCUAUUAUUGUUUCCUGGUGAAACUGAGGAGAAAAGUUAACCAGGUUAAUCCCAGUUUGCCUGUGUGUUAUGUAUCAGUUAUACAGGUAUCCAACCAAGUUCAAAUCAAAAGAAAUUCCUAACUUUGUAUAUUUCUGGAGCUAUAAAACCCCUGAUUUAAGACAGCUUUUCUCUUUUUUCAGACAGCUUUUCUUUAUGCUUAUUUCAAUCAAAAUAACACACCUGUCAAAUUACAUGUAACACAUUAUCUAAUGAAGAUAGGCAAAUGUGAAAAUGUUGUCAUGAACAUGUCAAUCAACCUG